rnacentral:rRNA from 1 species
GCGGCCUAUCAGCUUGUUGGUGGGGUGAUGGCCUACCAAGGCGACGACGGGUAGCCGGCCUGAGAGGGUGAUCGGCCACAUUGGGACUGAGAUACGGCCCAGACUCCUACGGGAGGCAGCAGUGGGGAAUAUUGCACAAUGGGCGGAAGCCUGAUGCAGCGACGCCGCGUGAGGGAUGACGGCCUUCGGGUUGUAAACCUCUUUCAGCAGGGACGAAGCGUAAGUGACGGUACCUGCAGAAGAAGCACCGGCUAACUAUGUGCCAGCAGCCGCGGUAAUACGUAGGGUGCGAGCGUUGUCCGGAAUUACUGGGCGUAAAGAGCUCGUAGGCGGUUUGUCACGUCGUCUGUGAAAUCCUAGGGCUUAACCCUGGACGUGCAGGCGAUACGGGCUGACUUGAGUACCACAGGGGAGACUGGAAUUCCU